CCUACGGGUGGCAGCAGUGAGGAAUAUUGGUCAAUGGGAGAGAUCCUGAACCAGCCAAGCCGCGUGAGGGAAGACGGCCCUAUGGGUUGUAAACCUCUUUUGUCGGGGAACAAAACCCGGGACGUGUCCCGGACUGCGUGUAUCCGAAGAAAAAGCAUCGGCUAACUCCGUGCCAUCAGCCGCGGUAAGACGGAGGAUGCGAGCGUUAUCCGGAUUUAUUGGGUUUAAAGGGUGCGUGGGCGGUCCGUUAAGUCAGCGGGAAAAUUGCGGGGCUCAACCCCGUCGAGCCGUUGAAACUGGCAGACUUGAGUUGGCGAGAGGAACGCGGAAUGCGCGGUGUAGGAGUGAAAUGCAUAGAUAUCGCGCAGAACUCCGAUGGCGAAGGCAGCGUACCGGCGCAAGACUGACGCUGAGGAACGAAAGCGUGGGGAUCGAACAGGAUUAGAUACCCGAGUAGUC
rnacentral:rRNA from 1 species